rnacentral:rRNA from 1 species
AAUGAACGCUGGCGGCGCGCCUAAUACAUGCAAGUCGAGCGAGAAGACGUAGCAAUACGUUUGUAAAGCGGCGAACGGGUGAGGAAUACAUGGGUAACCUACCCUUGAGUGGGGAAUAACUAGCCGAAAGGUUAGCUAAUACCGCGUACGCUUCCUGGACUUCGGUUCAGGGAGGAAAGCGAUGCCGAGGGUAUCGCGCUCUUGGAUGGGCUCAUGUCCUAUCAGCUUGUUGGGAGGUAACGGCUCACCAAGGCUUCGACGGGUAGCUGGUCUGAGCGGACGAUCAGCCACACUGGCACUGCGACACGGGCCAGACUCCUAC